CCUUCGGGCGGCUGCAGUGGGGAAUAUUGGACAAUGGGGGCAACCCUGAUCCAGCCAUGCCGCGUGUGUGAAGAAGGCCCUCGGGUUGUAAAGCACUUUCAGUGAGGAAGAACGCCUGGUGGUUAAUACCCAUCAGGAAAGACAUCACUCACAGAAGAAGCACCGGCUAACUCCGUGCCAGCAGCCGCGGUAAUACGGAGGGUGCGAGCGUUAAUCGGAAUUACUGGGCGUAAAGCGCGCGUAGGUGGCUUGAUAAGCCGGUUGUGAAAGCCCCGGGCUCAACCUGGGAACGGCAUCCGGAACUGUCAAGCUAGAGUGCAGGAGAGGAAGGUAGAAUUCCCGGUGUAGCGGUGAAAUGCGUAGAGAUCGGGAGGAAUACCAGUGGCGAAGGCGGCCUUCUGGACUGACACUGACACUGAGGUGCGAAAGCGUGGGUAGCAAACAGGAUUAGAUACCCGAGUAGUC
rnacentral:rRNA from 1 species